UUAUCGACAAUCUCAGAAGGGAAGGGGUAUCCCCUUCUUCUUUUUCUCUUGAACUCUCUCUUAUCAAAAAACUAAAGCACGGCCGCCAGUUUUCUUAUCCUUUAAUUGCCGAUCUCCUCAGGUUUGCCUCAAGCCGGCGAAGGAAUCAGGGGAACGGAGCUCAGACUAUCAGAGAUGACGGAAAUCAACUCAAGUUCAAACUGAAACAAUAUGAUUAUUUUGGUUAUGAGCUGGCUUCAUUUCAUUCCAGUGACUUUAAAUAGGUCCAAGAACUCACUAAAUAGUGAAAUUAAGGAGAGGAUUAAGAAGACCAAGUAAAGAAGGGGCGUGGUUUUGCAAUCUAUGACUGCGGCUGUGACAAAGCUUUUCAUAGUGGUCAGGAUGGUAAAGGUUUAAAAAUGUCUAAUUUUAUUCACAUGUGUAUUCUUUUUCAUGUGCACAAGCAAAUGUACAUGCAUAGGCAUGGUGUGUAUGUUUUUCUUCUUUAAUUUACUUUUAUUUUUAUUGAGAUAUGGUCAGUAUUAAAUUGAAAUUGA